rnacentral:lncRNA from 1 species
CAGAAAUCUUCCUUUAUAACAUAAAAUAAACUCUAGAUCUAAACAUUUUACUGCACAAGAUGAGCAUAAAAAUGUCUUUUAUGCCUAACUAUUUAAAAACCUAAACAAUGUCAAAGGUAUGUAAUGAAUUAGAGAUUUGUAUAAUUUUAUAUUUAAGAUAAUUUCACAAAUUUUGUAACAACAAAAAUCAACUACACACUAUUCGUAUUUUCAUUCCAGUCCCGAAGUAUAGGUAUUUAGAUCGGCUUAUACUACCCUUCACGAUAACAGUUCACCAGUAGAUAUAUUGACCGAGUGGUACUACUAACACACUCACGGAGUAAAACCAGUUAACGUGCGUACUUACCGUACCCUUUGUACUUGUAUAAUGCAACUAUCAACAUUAUGAUUUCCCUUCUACAGGAAGCUAGCUAUGGUUGCUGGUUGGAUAUUGCCGCUCAAGAUUAAAAAAAACAGCAGUGUAGAUAUUGUAUGUUAAAAGAUAGAUCGUUUAUCAUAGUUACAGUUCGGUUGAAGUUAUGUUUUUGUAUAUACUGUAGUAAAACAUAAAACAAAAAAUAUUUGGUCAAAUGUGAAUGGUGUUUCAAAGGAAACGUUAAUACGAGUAGUGAGUCGCGUUGGAAGACCACCCCACCUUCAAGAAUGGUAUGGCUAUCAUAUGGGUAUAGAUGUAGGAUCGAUAUCUAGCUCUAUGUCAAAAACUUCCAUUAUCAUCAGCUCUUUGACAUUCGUCUGAAGUCUUCGAAAACGGUG